GUAUUGGUGGUAUAGUGGUAGCAGCAUAGUGCUCUUCAAGCAGUUGACCCGGGUUCGAUUCCCGGCCAAUGCA